rnacentral:rRNA from 1 species
AUGUGUGAUGAUAUGGGUGUGUGUACCAAAAAAAAAGUAUUUUUCAAAGGAAAAAGAUCAAAGAAAACUGAAGGUAUUUCUCAAGAAAGGAGAAAGAAAACUGAAGGUGAGAUAGAAGUCACACAAUCAACAUUCAGGGCAUUCAGGGUAGUGAUCAGUGUAGACACACUUUUAAGGAAAGCUGAAUGUGAGACAGAAGACAUCCAGUGUAUCGACCAUUCUGUAAGCAGAUAUUUCUGUAGAAGAAAGCCUGUCAGUGGCCAAGUUUGCCAUGUUUUUCUCUUGAUCCUGUCCAUCCGAAACACAAGCGAAAACGAUGGUCAAAUUUUGCGUAUGCAAAGUCUGCACUGCACUCAAAAUCAGAACAAUUUAUUUCUCAUUUAUUCAUCGCCAAAUCUGUUGGCGAUUACACAAGUACAGACGCAACAGGGAAAAGAAACGCAAUACAGAGACCAAAUGCCUCACCAGACUCGGCGAGAACAAAGACACAACUGUAGCAUACUUUUAGGCUGCAGAACUUGCACACACAUGAACCAGACUGGCUCUGACCCAAAUACUCAGCCGGAUAUCUCGAUGGCCUUGACCUCGGGCUUCUUGACCUCGGCCUUGGGCACGGUGACGGUGAGCACGCCGUUCUCCAGCCCGGCCUUCACCUCCUCCACCUUGGCGUCCUCCGGCAGCCGGAACCGCCUGACAAACUUGCCGCUGCUGCGCUCCACGCGGUGCCACUUGUCGUUCUUGUCCUCCUUCUCCUUUGUGCGCUCGCCGCUGACGACGAGCACGUUGCCGUCCUCCACCUCCACCUUGACCUCCUCCUUCUUCACGCCGGGGAGGUCGGCCUUGAAGACGUGCGCCUCGGGGGUCUCCUUCCAGUCCAUCCGGGCGUUGGCGAACGCGGCCGUCUCGCUGCUGCCGCCAGAGAUCGCCGGGACGAUGGAGCGGAAGGUGUCGAAGGGGUCCGCCCAGAGGUCGGCGAAGGGGUCGAACACGUUGCUCCACCGCACGAUCGACAUCGUCGGUGUUGAUUGCUUCGGCUUGUGCGCUCGGAAAAUUCUGUAG